rnacentral:lncRNA from 1 species
GCCAAACUCGUCCAAAAUGCUAACCUAAUCAGCUCAAAUCAGCUGAUUUAUUAAAUUGCAAAUCAACCAUUAAAUUCUCUUUUAAAUCACAUUCAAACCCCUCCACUUAUUAUUCUUUUGUAGAUUUUCCCCUAGCUAAAUAUAGCAAGUUGAAAUCAUCAACAAAUGUAUGAGUGGUGGCCGGUCAUGGGGGGCAGUUAAUGGCUGAUAUUUCUUUGCUAAAAUUAGCAGCCACUCCCACCUAUAAAUACCCUCUACACAUAUUC